rnacentral:rRNA from 1 species
UGCGAAUGCUGACAUGAGUAACGAUAAAGGGGGUGAAAAACCUCCUCGCCGGAAGACCAAGGGUUCCUGUCCAACGUUAAUCGGGGCAGGGUAAGUCGACCCCUAAGGCGAGGCCGAAAGGCGUAGUCGAUGGGAAACGGGUUAAUAUUCCCGUACUUCUUACAAUUGCGAUGGGGGGACGGAGAAGGCUAGGUGGGCCUGGCGACGGUUGUCCAGGUUCAAGUGCGUAGGCUUAAGAGUUAGGUAAAUCCGGCUCUUUUUAAGGCUGAGACACGACGUCGAGCACCUACGGGUGUGAAGUCAUUGAUGCCAUGCUUCCAGGAAAAGCCUCUAAGCUUCAGAUUGUAAGGAAUCGUACCCCAAACCGACACAGGUGGUCGGGUAGAGAAUACCAAGGCGCUUGAGAGAACUCGGGUGAAGGAACUAGGCAAAAUGGUACCGUAA